rnacentral:rRNA from 1 species
GACGAACGCUGGCGGCGUGCCUAAUACAUGCAAGUAGGACGCAGUUGCGAACGGGUGAGUAACGCGUAGGUAACUGCCUAUUAGAGGGGGGUAACUAUUGGCAACGAUAGCUAAUACCGCAUACUAGUCGAUGGACCUGCGUUGUAUUAGCUAGUAGGUAGGGUAAUGGCCUACCUAGGCAACGAUACAUAGCCGACCUGAGAGGGUGAUCGGCCACACUGGGACGGAGACACGGCCCAGACUCCUACGGGAGGCAGCAGUGGGGAAUAUUGCACAAUGGGCGCAAGCCUGAUGCAGCCAUGCCGCGUGUAUGAAGAAGGCCCUAGGGUUGUAAAGUACUUUCAGUCGGGAGGCGUUACCUACAGAAGAAGCACCGGCUAACUCCGUGCCAGCAGCCGCGGUAAUUC